AGCCCGCACAAUGACUUCCAGCUGGAGCAGCCCAGCCAGCCUGCGCGCUCACUCGCUUGCUUGCGCUGGGCUUCAGGGCGCCCGGGUGAGUUUUUUUCUCUCCCUCUCGUUUUUUUUUUUUUCCCAGGCUCUCGCGGGUUUCCCCUGCCAGGGAAUCCACUCGCUGUAGUUUUCUAGGGCUCUGGUCCCAGUCCUUUCUGAAGCGCGCUUGCAGGCUGUCUUCCUCAGUCGCCCUCUCCCUGGGUGCUGUUUUGCUGGGCAGCAUCCCAUGCUAGGCUCGGCAGACAUUCUGGCGGUUGGGUUCGGCCCUUACAGCGCUAACACCUGCAGAGUCGAGGCUCCUGCCAAAAGGCAGAAAGCAAAGGAGGAAAAAAUUCAUUGUCAUAAUAGCGAAAAUGAUAAACCUCAGCUGUUUAAGAGAAGAAUGUCUGAGUAGCUGUUGAUUAUCUCCCAUAAUCACAAAACAACUUUUUUUUAAAAAGAAUUUGCACUGUCUGUUAAAACGCGGUCAUUGUUUUGCUUUCAAAUCGAACUUCACGACAGUUAGCAACUUCAAGAACGCUUCCAAAUGGAUAAAUCUUUCCAGAAGAUUUCUUGCUUCAAAACAGCUGCAUUUUUGGAAGAAAGUCCACAACUGACAACUAAGCAAAACCCUCCUGGUGGAUAGCAUAAAUCUGCUUUGUUGAAGCUGCUCAUUUGUCUGAUCUAUGAGUCCAGAAGAUGCAAACUCCCUUCCCAGCUUAUGCAAAAAUACUUCCAGUAAAAACAAGCCCUUUGGCCCUUU
rnacentral:lncRNA from 1 species